rnacentral:rRNA from 1 species
ACUGCUCAGUAACACGUAGGUGACCUGCCCUGAAGUGGGGGAUAACGACUCGAAAGAGUCGCUAAUACCGCAUGUGACCACCGAUCCGUUUUCGGUGCUCAAAGUCGUAAGACGCUUUAGGAGGGGCCUGCGGCGGAUUAGCUAGUUGGUGAGGUAAUGGCCCACCAAGGCUUCGAUCCGUAGCUGGUCUGAGAGGAUGGCCAGCCAGACUGGGACUGAGACACGGCCCAGACUCCUACGGGAGGCAGCAGUUAGGAAUUUUGCGCAAUGGGGGAAACCCUGACGCAGCCACGCCGCGUGCGGGAUGAAGGCCUUCGGGUCGUAAACCGCCUUUCUCGAGGAAGACACCCGACGGUACUCGAGGCAUAAGCAACGGCUAACUACGUGCCAGCAGCCGCGGUAAUACGUAGGUUGCGAGCGUUGUCCGGAUUUACUGGCGUAAAGCGCACGCAGGCGGUUCCGAAAGUCGAAUGUGAAAGCUCCUGGCCCAACUGGGAGAGGCCGUUCGAAACUUCGGGACUUGAAGGCGGGAGAGGCAGAUGGAAUUUCCGGUGUAGCGGUAAAAUGCGUAGAUACCGGAAGGAACACCAGUGGCGAAAGCGAUCUGCUGGCCCGCCCUUGACGCUCAGGUGCGAAAGCUAGGGGAGCGACCGGGAUUAGAUACCCCGUUAGUCCUAGCCGUAAACAAUGGGCACUAGGUGUUGUCGGUAUCGACCCCGGCAGUGCCGAAGCUAACGCAUUAAGUGCCCCGCCUGGGGAGUACGACCGCAAGGUUAAAACUCAAAGGAAUUGGCGGGGGAGCAC